UGGGGAAUAUUGCACAAUGGGGGAAACCCUGAUGCAGCGACGCCGCGUGAGCGAAGAAGUAUUUCGGUAUGUAAAGCUCUAUCAGCAGGGAAGAAAAUGACGGUACCUGACUAAGAAGCACCGGCUAAAUACGUGCCAGCAGCCGCGGUAAUACGUAUGGUGCAAGCGUUAUCCGGAUUUACUGGGUGUAAAGGGAGCGUAGACGGCUGUGUAAGUCUGAAGUGAAAGCCCGGGGCUCAACCCCGGGACUGCUUUGGAAACUAUGCAGCUAGAGUGUCGGAGAGGUAAGUGGAAUUCCCAGUGUAGCGGUGAAAUGCGUAGAUAUUA
rnacentral:rRNA from 1 species